UACGAAGGGGGCUAGCGUUGUUCGGAAUCACUGGGCGUAAAGCGCACGUAGGCGGAUUUUUAAGUCAGGGGUGAAAUCCCGGGGCUCAACCUCGGAACUGCCUUUGAUACUGGAGAUCUUGAGUCCGGAAGAGGUAAGUGGAACUGCGAGUGUAGAGGUGAAAUUCGUAGAUAUUCGCAAGAACACCAGUGGCGAAGGCGGCUUACUGGUCCGGAACUGACGCUGAGGUGGCGAAAAGCGUGGGGAGCAAACAGG
rnacentral:rRNA from 1 species